GCCACCUUGGCGCAGUGGUAACGCGUAGCACUUGUAAUGCUAAGAUCACAGGUUCGAUUCCUGUAGGUGGCA
rnacentral:tRNA from 1 species